rnacentral:pre_miRNA from 1 species
AAACAGCCUCCUAUGUUUUGUUUCUUUGGCAGUUUGGAUCCCAAAGCAAAAUAAAAAUAAAAAAUUUGACACGUGGCACCUCAUUUAGGGUGCCACGUCAGCGUUGACCGAGUCAACAUUUGACUGGGGGUUCAAAACUGCCAAAGAAUCAAAACAUAGGGGGCUGUUU